rnacentral:misc_RNA from 1 species
GAUGAAGAACGUAGCGAAAUGCGAUAAGUAAUGUGAAUUGCAGAGUUCAGUGAAUCAUCGAAUCUUUGAACGCACAUUGCGCCCAUUAGCAUUCUAGUGGGCAUGCCUGUUCGAGCGUCAUUUCAACCCUUAAGCCCUGUUGCUUAGCGUUGGGAGCCUACAGUACUGUAGCUCCCCAAAGUUAGUGGCGGAGUCGGUUUCACACUCUAGACGUAGUAAUUUUUUCUCGUCUGUAGUUGAGCCGGUCCCCUGCCGUAAAACACCCAAUUUAUCAAGGUUGACCUCGGAUCAGGUAGGAAUACCCGCUGAACUUAAGCAUAUCAAUAAGCGGAGGA